rnacentral:lncRNA from 1 species
AUAGCAACAGCAGCGUAGCUGAACAUCUUACGGAUGGCCCAGGGCUCCAAAGGCUCGUUUCCUAAGUGAGAGAGAGCCUGGCUGAAGCUGUAUUACCAUUCAUUCUCCAGCCUCCGAAGUCUCAAAGCAUCACUUCCACCAUACUCUAACUGUCAAGACAAACACAAAGGCCCAGAGAAGGGGUCUCACUAUGUUGUCUGGAGUGCUGUGGUGGAGUGGAGUGGCUAUUCACAGCUGAGUUUGCAGAGUAAACCACUACCCUGAAAUCUGGAAAGGCAGGUGCACCCACAGAUCCUCAGCUGAGAUCCAAUUACCUGAAAUAGAAGCUGCCAUUAGGAACACUUAAAAGAGCCUGUUCUGCUGGGACACAGAAUCACUUGCUCCAUCUCAUACAUUGAUGAUGAUUAAUUUGUAUGUGUACCUUCCAAAAAAGAUGGUUGUGUUUGAAUGGAGGCCUUCUGGACAGGAAAAUAAUCACAUCCUUCCUGAGAUAAUGAGCACACAAUUGCCUGGAUACCUGAAGGAAUGGAGACAGCGGCAGAAAACACUGCAGAGAGGUGGAAACAUCCGUUAAUAUUUUAAAAUCCCAUUACUGCUACCAACAAUAAUAAUGGAUGCAUAGAAAUAGAUCUGGAUUAGCUGAGCUUGAAACAGUCCAUCUCACACACACACAAAAGAAUUUCAGAUACAGUGAACCCACAUGUUGAAGCUUUCUAGUAUAAUAAAAAUUUCAACUGUUCUGUUGAAUCAUCUGCCUGAUUGGAGGCUACAGAAAAGAUGUCAUCUUAGGAGUGCUUGCUCUGAGUGAGGCUCAUCUUCAAAUCUGAAUGACCACAAGGAGAUUUGAUUAUACAUGUGAACACCUCAGAAGGCACAGCCCACCCAGAAGGCAGACAGGUCAGGCUGCUUUUUCUUCAUUGCUUGGAUUCAAUCCUCCGGGCGGCUCAGGCUCAAACAUAACUUAAGCAUGAUUAAACUUUAGAAGAAGCUGCCAGGAAGACUGUGAAAUCUUCAUGCCCAAGGAUCCCUAAAAUUAGGAGCAACAACCACUUGGCUCAGACGGUUUAUGGAGGCAAAGGUUUGGAUGGGAUUAGAGAUUUCUAAAUGUGAGUUCGUGUCCUCUGCCAGACCACCUUACUUCCACCAUUCCUCAGCAAAUCAAGAAAAACAGGAGAAAAGACAUGCCUUUCCAUAAGUUAAAUCUAUUCUGUUUUAAUUCUAUAUUAUAUCUGCUGUACAACUUCUUUUGUUUGUAACACCAUAUUGUUGCUAGUAACUGGAAAUUAAUUUUCACAUGCCUCAGCUUAGAAAAAUAAAAAGCAGCCCUGCAUCAAUCCCAA